rnacentral:rRNA from 1 species
GGCGUGCCUAACACAUGCAAGUCGAGCGGGGUUAAUAAAUGGGGCAACCCAUUGAUUAACCUAGCGGCGGACGGGUGAGUAACACGUAGGUGACCUACCCCUGGGAGCGGGAUAACCACUGGAAACGGUGGCUAAUACUGCAUAAAGUCAUAGGCUUGGAGGCUUAUGACCAAAGGCGAAAGCUGCCUGGGGAUGGGCCUGCGGCCUAUCAGGUAGUUGGUAGGGUAAUGGCCUACCAAGCCUGAGACGGGUAGCCGGUCUGAGAGGACGGACGGCCACACUGGGACUGACACACGGCCCACACUCCUACGGGAGGCAGCAGUGGGGAAUAUUGGACAAUGGGCGGAAGCCUGAUCCAGCGACGCCGCGUGGAGGACGAAGGCCUUCGGGUUGUACACUCCUUUUAAAGGGGAAAAGUUAGGAUGGUACCCUUUGAAUAAGCCACGGCUAACUCUGUGCCAGCAGCCGCGGUAAGACAGAGGUGGCGAGCGUUGCUCGGAAUCACUGUGCUUAAAGGGCGUGUAGGUGGUCAUGCGAGUGCUGGGUGGAAUGCUAUGGCUUAACCAUA